CACGUAGUUAGCCGUGGCUUCCUCCUCAGGUACCGUCAUCAUCGUCCCUGAAGACAGAGCUUUAACAACCCGAAGGCCGUCAUCACUCACGCGGCGUUGCUGCAUCAGGGUUUCCCCCAUUGUGCAAUAUUCCCCACUGCUGCCUCCCGUAGGAGUCUGGGCCGUGUCUCAGUCCCAAUGUGGCCGAUCACCCUCUCAGGUCGGCUACGCAUCGUCGCCUUGGUGAGCCGUUACCUCACCAACUAGCUAAUGCGCCGCGGGCCCAUCUCAUAGCGGAUUGCUCCUUUAAAUUGCUACUUCAUGCGAAGCUACAAUCUUAUGCGGUAUUAAUCUCCCUUUCGGAAGGCUAUUCCCCUCUAUGAGGCAGGUUGCCCACGUGUUACUCACCCGUCCGCCGCUAGCUUUGUUCCGAAGAACUCCACUCGCUCGACUUGCAUGUGUUAGGCACGCGCCCAGCGUCGUCUCGUGCCACGGACUCGAAACUACUACUAC
rnacentral:rRNA from 1 species